GUCCCCUUCGUCUAGUGGUUAGGACUCGGGAUUUUCGAUCCCGCAACAGGGGUUCGACUCCCCUAGGGGACGCAA
rnacentral:tRNA from 1 species